CACGGGAAAGCAGACGAGAUUUGUUGACAACAGCGAUGAUGAGAUUGAAGAAGAAGAAGAAUGGGGAGAGAAUGGGGAGUAUUCAAGUGAUAUAAUGAGGUUGAAGGGGUUGCCAACACCCAAAGGAAAGCACCUGCGCUUUCCUCUGGAGGAGGAGGCUGAGCUGUGUAAAGGCAAAAGAAAGAUAAGCAUGACAGAGAUGUUCAUGGGAAAGCACACGAGAUUUGUUUACAACAGCGAUGAUGAGAUUGAAGAAGAAGAAGAAGAAUGGGGGGAGCAUGGGGAGUAUUCAAGUGAUAUAAUGAGGUUGAAGGGGUUGCCAACACCCAAAAGAAAGCACCUGCGCUUUCCUCUGGAGGAGGAGGAUGAGCAAGAUUAAGUGAUCUCAUUUUAUGAUUGGCUAGGGAAAUUAAUGCUCGG
rnacentral:lncRNA from 1 species